rnacentral:tRNA from 1 species
GGCCAGGUAGCUCAGUCGGUAGAGCAGAGGACUGAAAAUCCUCGUGUCCACAGUUCGAUUCUGUGCCUGGCCACCA